UUCUGAAUCACGACCAGUAGUCUGAAGAUGUAGUUGUUGUGUGUUGAUACUGAUAUAAAUGAGGAAGAGGAAACUUUGUCUCAGGUGACAUAAUCGGGUCAGGGAUCAUUGUGAGCCCAAAGGGCGUUAUGGAGAAUGCCAGCUCUGUGGGGCUGGCUCUCGUAGUGUGGAUUGUCACCGGAGUGAUCACAGCCAUUGGUGCACUGCUUUGCUGAACUGGGCGCCACUAUCCCCAAAUCUGGAGGAGACUACUUAUACGUCAAGGUCUUUGGGAGGACUUGUUGGGCUUCACAGCAUAUCCCCCUUCUUUACCUUGGGAAAGCUGAUUUUUCUAUGAUGGCAUUCCUGCUGUGAUGGUUGCCUGGGAAGCUGUGCAGAACAGGCUCCUGGACCUCCUCUUCAACUAGGUCACCCUUGAUCCAGCGCUGUAUGUGGGGAAGCUGUGCAAGCUGUCCAUCGCAGAACCCCUGUGCCCAGUGUGAGAGGCCUCCACGACAGAGGCCUGACAAGGAGGAAGCCCUAGCUGGAUUUGUCUCCCGCUUCAAUCUUGGGAAUGACUGAAGCCAAGUGUGUGACUGAAGCCUGCAUAAUUGAAGCAGGGUACAUGGGUCCCCCUCCUCUCCCGCUCCCCUCCCAUCAAUCUCUGUAGUUGGUUGCAUUUGCUAAAGCAAUGAUCUUUUACGUCAUAAGAUAUCACCUUUUGUUAGUUUUUAUAGUUUUUUUUUCAAGCAUUCUAAUGGGAGAUGAGUGUUACAAAUUGUACAAAUGAAUGAGAUCCUGCACACUGUAGGGUGGCCAAGUGCCUAUAUUAGGCUCUAUGCCUCUAAUAUAUUUGUUUCUCAUUCAAAUUAUGUCAUACCAUUAUUUCUCAUGGGUGUUCAAGUUGAUCAAUAUUUUGGCUAUGUUGGCCUAUUGUAAAUUAGCGAAUAACUGUCUGAUCA
ensembl:lncRNA